rnacentral:rRNA from 1 species
AUGGCAAAAUAUUUUUGGAGCAGUUCUCUGGAUAAAAAUUCUAUGCAUUGGGUGUCCUGGAAAGAGCCGGCAACACCUAAGUGCAAAGGAGGGAUGGGGUUUCGUGACCUGCAUCAGUUUAAUCUUGCUAUGUUGGGCAAACAGGGUUGGCGAUUAAUGACAAACCCUACAUCGUUGUGUGCUAGAGUGCUCAAGGGUCGCUACUUUCCCGACAGCGAUUUUAUGCAUGCAUCUGCUCCAAAGUCGGCAUCGGCCACUUGGAAGGCUAUCAUGGCGGGAAGGGAGGCUCUAGGGGCCGGGCUGAUCGCCCGAGUGGGAGAUGGCAGCACGUUAUCAAUGUGGAAUGGCAAAUGGAUUGCUGGAACUAUUUCAAUGAAACCAAUCUUCAAACCACCAAACACCACCAUCCAAACGGUGGAUGAGCUCAUUGAUACGACCAAUUGGUCUUGGCGGCAAGAUAUGGUCAGGGAAACCUUCAUCACCCAGAUGCCGAAGCCAUUCUGA